AGAAGUUAGCUUAUUACUACAAUUAGCUGAACUGUUAGAUAUUUGCCACUUUUCUGAUUUUUGGGAACUUUUGUUCUCAAGUGGCGUAGAUUAUUCGCGAGCCGUUGGAUUUAUAGAUCACAUUCGUCAUUUUAUUAGAGAUAUCAUACUUUCUUCCUACAGGACCAUCUCAAAAUCGUGCCUAAAAAUAGAAUUUAAUUUUACUGAAGCCGAAGUUGAUGAAUAUAUACAGCAGCAAUCUUGGAUUCCUCUUUUUAAUAAUCUUAUUGAUUUAAACACAAGACACGAAAUGG